rnacentral:lncRNA from 1 species
AACAAGCUGAAGCUGUAAGAUCCAUUUCCUUCUGUGAGGUAGGAAUGAAGGGUAGAGGGAUGAAUACUCCUUCCAGGGCGGUUACUGUGGCAAGGGGCCUUGGUAACAUCCUAGCAAACAACCUUCCAACCGAUUGAAAAACUCCCUGCCCUGGCUGCUGGACUACUGGACGGCUUUUCCAGAACAACGUUGUUGCCAGGACAAAAGGCUUAUGGAGUAAAAAGAAUGUAAUAAAGUUCUUGAGAAAGGUCUCUCUACAUAGCACUGCUGUCCUGGAACUCACUACACAUCUAGACCAGACUGGCUCUUUCUGGCCUUGAAAUCACAGAGAUUCACCAGUCUGUCUCUUGAGUCCUGGGAUUAAAGUCAUGCAUCACUACACUCUAAUAUAACAAUAGCUUUUAUGUUAUUCAGCCUCAAAAGUCUGCAAAUCAUAGCAUUUGACAUUAAGCUUUUUUAUUCUUGUUUUGUUUUCCCUGUUCCUCCAUUUUCACUUCUGUUAAUCAUAAUCACACUCGAGGAAAAUAAUGGCCCACAGCAAGACUUUCUACUAAAAGAGGUAAAGAAACCCUACAUUCCUCUAAAACGUCUGCAGUCUACCCACAGAGCUGGGAUCGUGUUUUGUGUCACUCUAUCCAUCCGGGCUGUGAAUUAGAGCACAGUCCAUCAAAGGCAUGUCCUCAGGCCUACCUAGGCAAAGGGGAGUGGAAAAUGCAAUUAUUUAUCCAAACAUUCAUUAGCAACAGCAAUGCAUGGGAAGCAGUCAAGAAUAGAUAGACAGUAGAUGUUGAAAUGGCCAACAAUACCAACUUCUAGCAUUGGUUCCUGUUUCCCAGAUCAUAUUGAUACAACUUUUUAGCAAAGAGGAAGGCAGCAGAUGCCAUAUAUGGUGACUGACUCUUCUAAGGUUUUGGUUUUGUAGUCUGUAAAUACAUAGACUUACCACUACAGUCUAGUUUCUACACAGCAAAGGCUGCUCUGGAACAGUCAUCUGUUACUUAUAGAACUACAGAGAUUUGAAAUAAUCUGUCAGAGAGGGGUCCAUAGAAGCACUGCAGUGAUGAGCAUGGGAGAGAAACCGGAGAGCCACCAUUUCACUGUGGUUCCCAUGUGCAUUCAUCUUAGAGGCUUAAAAUGCCUAAGAUCGUGAGAACAUGUACACAAUUAUCUGAAUACAUUUAGGGAACUCUACUUUUACAGUCCGAUACUCCACUGAUAGAUGACCAAAUGAAGGUCAUGUUACUAUGGUUUCGCAGAUGGAAAUAUGUGAACUUUUGUUGUUGUACAUGGAUACAUCAGGAAACCAACAGACGAUUAUUAUUCAGUGACAGGACUCAGACAUCCAGGGUGAUCGAGAGUAAUCCUCAAGAUUCUGGAUAAUUUGGAAAAAAAAGAAUGCUAUGAUACCU